ACAAGAAGAAUGGAUUUUAAAGAGAAUUAAUUAGAGCAUACAAAAUCACAUAACAUAAAACAUUCUCUUACCCACCAGCACACUCACACGAGAAGGAAAGAAACAAACAAAAACACAAAAAAGGUUUCCUCAACCUCCUAAAAACACACAAACCCCAUGAGACUAUGAGAGCAAGAGAUAAAUUAUUUCACUCUUCUCUCCUGGCCACCUGUGACUUCUUAUUCUCCAGCAACAACGGCUUGCUCACAUACCAGCACAACCACCGUGAUCUCAGUCGUGAAACGCAUCCUCCUGCAACAUUUGUUUGAAAGAGCAACAAAGUGUAGCGUUGCAGCCGGAUCUGCAACGGAUCCCUCUCAUCAGUGUAGCAACUGACAUCUUCCCCAACUGCUCGUGGUUUCAUUUAAAUCUUCAUAGAAGAACAGCUCUGCACCAGCACAACCAUUAUAUCCUCCUUCAGCAGCAAGCAACCUCUGUCAACCGUGAGCGUCAUUCACGCCAACAGCAGUAGGAGUCCAUCCUCAAGCAUCAACAACUUUGCUUCUAGCUGAGAAUCUCAUCCAAAACUCGUUCAGGAUUAGCAGCAGCUCAGCCUCGACCAUCUCUGUCCGCCGUGAGCCUGAGUCAGCCAUGGCAACCACCUUUCCAACAACAACAGCAAGCCAUGGCAGUUUCUCCUUCCUGUAACUUAUCUCUCGUCUUCUCAAGUAGCAGUGGUUGCUUUCCUCGGCCACUUCAGUAGCUUCAAUCAUGAGUAGAGUCUCCCGAGUAGCAGCAAACUCUCGCAGGCAGCUAGGGUUUAACCAGCUCAAUAACACUCUGAUGGGUUGGCUUCAACACCAGACCAACGCCAGGUAAGGUUUCUCUUCUACUUCCUUAAGUUAUAUGCUCUUUUAGGAUUAGUUCCGAUUGCUGCAUGAAACUAGAAAUGGUAUGUUAAUAUAAGAAUAAAGAUUGUAACUAGAAAAAGGCAUGUUGUGCAUGUAAUUUCUUGGCAAAAUAACUGUUGUUUAUCAUUUUGAUGCCAAAUAACAUGCAUUUAAAGUAGAUAAUGUUUUUGGGCCAAGCUUGUGAAAGAACAAAAGGAGGUCGGGCCCAAUCAUUUUUUGGGGCUAUUUUUUCCUUUUAGGCUGAGUUGUGGGUCUGCGUUGUGGGUCUGUAAACUGGACUUCAAUGUAAAGAUGUGUGCUUGGGCUAUGUUUAUGUUUAAACAUAUCCUAUAAUCCAAGAUUACACGGGAUGGUUUUUUUUUUUUUUGGAUCAAAUAUGAUAUUUGCGAUUUUUUGGGCUAAUGAGUUUAUGGGUUUUAAAGUCAGGUUUGGAUUAUUACAUUGAAUUAGAGUCUGUUGUACCUUUCUCUUAAUUACAAGCUAAAACAAUAAAAAUAUAUAUAACAAUAAUUAAAAAAACAUCUUUCUUUUAAAAAUAAAAUUUUAUUUUAAAUAACAUACGCCAAAUCUCUUAAAAAUAUAAAAAAUCAUAUCUUGUUUAAAAAAUUAAAAUACAUGGCAUGUUUUAUUUUUUUUAAUAUGCAUUUUUUAUUUAAUAAACAAUUUACUAAAUUCAUAAGAAUUUGGUUAAUAUUUCAAUAACUCAUAAAAUCUAAAUUCAUGAGAACUAAUGGUCAAUAUUUUGGUAUAAAUAUUGGACCUACAAGUCAGCUUGUAUUUAAAUAUUAGGAGUUGACCAGAAAAUUCUUGGAAUUAUUCUAAAUAUUCAUCAAUUUUAAUUGAGAGUAGUUUUCAUCACAAAGCACGAGUUGUGAAAAACCAUUUCGCCUUCCAUUAUAGGUGAAUGUUGUUAGGGCUUCUAUAUGGAUCCUUUUUAUAAGAAUGCAUUUGGGCACACGAGCCCAUAAUAAAUUCAAAAAGCCAAAUUUAUUCACAUUAAUAAAUCUUCACCUCAAGCUAUAGAUAGACCACCGGUUAGAAACUUAUCAAAACUUUUAAACCAUAUUCCUAACUUAUAAACAAAAUUAAAGUAUUUAUAGUUUAACAAGAUAAACCCUAUUGGAAUAUUAGAAAGAAAUUAUAACCUAAAUAUAAAUGCAUUUAAAAGUACUUUUAAAAUAAAAUAACAAAGCCCAAAUCUUAAUAAAUAAAGUCCAAUCAAUAUAAUAACUUAUAGGCCUCAUCAAAAGGCAUUUAUGAUAUCUGAUCACAAUAAAAUUCAUACCAUAAAGGAUAUAGAGCCUUAAAAAUCUUCUAGAAAGAUUUCAGCCCAAUCCAUUGGUCGAAUAGAAAGUUAUCACCAUUAACAUAAAGAUGUGUGCUAAACAACUUCAUCUCUUGUUUUGAUCACAUUGGUCAAAGCUUAAUCAUCCUUUAAACUCAACUUCAUGCCUGAUGCCAUUUUAGAAGGGAGUUUUUAAUCUUACUCGGCCAAAAUGUCUUGAAUCAGCCCAUUGAAUGCCUAUUUGCUUUUGGAUCUUGCCCUUGUAAUUAGAAUAAUUAAUAUAUGUAAUGGAUUUUGUGGUGUUAUUUGUUAAUUCUCUUCACCCACCUUCUCCUCAAAAGGAUUUGAUCUUGAAUCAUCACCUGUAUUAAAAAAGAAAUGGAUCAGAAACAUUGAAUAUAGUACUAAUGUUAUACUUAACUCGAAGAUCCAACUUAUAUUAAUUAUUGCUGACCUAUUCAAGAACUUAAAAUGAGUCAUUCCUUCUAGGAUGCAACUUAGAUCUCCUAUAGGAUGAAAAUCUUUCCUUCCUUAUAUGCAGCUAAAUCCAAUCACCAGGUUCAGAAACCGAGUACCUAUGACCUUUGUUAGCUUUAUAUUCAUUUUGUUCAUUCUUUUUUUUUAUGUGUUACCAAAAACUCAUGAAGUUUCUUCACCAUUUCUAUACCUUUUGCACUAACAAGGUUAUGAAAAAUAACUUUAUCCAUGCAAAAAGUAUAAUUAUUUAAAUUGGUAUACAAUUUUUCAUUUCUCAAAACAUUAAGCACAAAACACAAAUGGUUAGCAUGCUUAUUUAAGCUUUUAUUGUAAACCAAUAUAUCAUCAAAAUAGACUAUCUUAUACUUGCUUGCCUAUAAAUGCACAAAAUUCAUGAUUCACCAAUCUUAUAAACUCGAUGCAUUGGUAAGAUCAAAUGGCAUGACUAACAAUUCAUACAAACCAAACUUAGUCUUAAAAGCAAUUUUGCAUUCAUCAUUUAUUUCCAUUCUAAUUUGAUGAUAUCCAGUUUUCAAAUCAAUUUUUGUAAAAACAUACGAACCAUGCAAUUCAUCUAAUAUGUCACACAACUGAUUAGUACUUAAUAGUGUUUUUUUAUCAAGGUUUUAUAUCAUUAUUUUGCACUUGAAGUAUCAAUAACUCCUUAACUAAAGCAUGUUUUAUAAUAACAUAUCUAAUAAUAUAUGAUACCUUUAAUUUAUGGUAAAUGUUCAUCUUAAAUGCAGGCCUAUCACAUAAAUGAAAGGAUUGAUUGAUGAGUUUAAAUACUAAAAUUGAAAGGACAAAGAGAGGGCCAAAACUUAGAAAAGAGAUGUUGGUGCAGUCCAAACUGGAACACUGUUCGGUAAUUGGGUCAUAUCUAGAGCUGUAGAUCUCGGAUUUAGGUCUGCUUUAUAUGGAUGGAAAGGUAGGACAUAGGCCUAUAACUUUCAUAGGAGUCCACAAUUUAAAUCAAGUUCAAAUUAUAGCAACAACGGAGAAGUCCAGAUCUGUCCUAUAGCCCAGACAUUGUUCAGUGUUCAGCCCAUAUCUCGAGUUCUAGAAGUCCAAAUGACCUCAAUUUUUUUUCCUAGAAAGAUAAGACAAUUUUCUAGAACUUUCAUGAGUAUAGUUUAUUCCAAUUAUGAUGUUAGCAAUGAUGUUUUGUUUAAACAAGAAGAUAAGGAUUUUCACCAAGUCAAGAGUUGGUCACCCACUCAACAAUUAGUCAUCAAAUCAAUAGUUCCAAAUUUUGGCCUAUAAAAGGAGGCAUUUGCCAUGGAUUUAGGCAUCUUGGUUGUUUAGAUCAAGAUCAUGCUCUUUAUUUCUUUCUUUAUAUUUUUGUAAUGAUUAAGUUUUAUUUCAUGUUAUAUUUUUCUUAAUCUCUUGUUUAUGCUUUUCAUUUCCUUUACUAUAUUUAUAUUCUUAUGUUGUUUAUUUAUGUUUCUCUUCUUCAUUAUAUUUAGCUAAGUUUAUUAUGUCAAGGUGAAAAAGUUACACCAAUGGUGUAAGAAUAAGUAUAGUGUUAAUAUUAACAUGUCUUAUCUUUUUAUCUUAUUAAUUCGUAAUACCUUGUUUGUUAAAUGGUUAAUCUAGAUUUGUGCUGUAUAACACUUGGUACAACAAAUACUUGGCACUCUCAUAGCCAAACUGUAUGGUAUAACCUACACCUGUGCUAUGAAAGAAACUUGAUUUGUUGUUAACAUAAGUUAGCAUCAUGAAUUUCUGAUAAUAUUUAAAAGUUUGGUGUUAUUUAAAUAAGAUAAUUAAUAUGAUCAUGUUAACAAUUUAUAAUGAGCUAUUAAUGACAAAUCAUCUGAUUGGAACCUCUUUUGUGUGUGGUUUCCAGUUGAAUAAUAAGAGUUUAUACUAUACUUGUUUGAAAUACCAUUAGUCGGUCCUCUAACCUUGACAUUUGUUUUUAUCAUUGUUUAAUCCUUAAAUUAAUCAAACAUGUCAAAGUCCUCUUUGACGUCUUCUUCUUCUUCUUCUUCUUCUUAUCAUCAUCAUCAUCAUCAUUAUUAUUAUUAUUAUUAUUAUUAUUAUUAAAGUUAACCUCCCUGUGGUUCGACCCCGGUCUUGCCGGGUUAUUUAUUACUUCGACACUCCUAUACUUGGGAGAAGACAUCAAUUUUUUGGUCGUGUCAAGAGCCUAAAAAUUAAAAAAUAUAUAUACUUUACUGUAAUAUUAUUGAUAGCCUUAUAAUCAAGAGGCAUCCUUCAAUAUCAAUCCUUUUAUGGCAUAAGUAACAUUGAACUGCACAUGCAUGCAUGCUCUUCUUUAUGUACCCUUUAGCCACCAGCUCAUCAACUUGCCUUUGAUGCUCAUUUGUCUUUUUAGGAAUUACUUAUAUAGGCUAAACAAUUAGGAAUCACAACUCUAGGUACAAGAUCAAUUUGAUAUUUUAUUUCUUUUGUGGCAACUCAUUAGGAACAUCUUCGGGAAACACAUCCUUAAAUUCUUAAAAUAAAUAAACAACAACACUAGAAAUAGAAGGAUUAAAAUUGUUGGUAUUAAAACAUUUCUCUUUGUAAAAAAAAAGUACAAACAUAUGAUGGCUAAUAUAAAAAAGUCUUUUGAUCUCAUUAUCUUUUACAUAAAAACUCAUUUGUUUCCUUGUUUUCCUCUUAAGACUCCAUUUUCUCUUUUUCUCAUUUUUUUUCUCUUGUCAUUGCCAACUCUCUAUUUUCCGCUCUCUUGGCUGAAUCUGACUUUCCUCUCCUCUUAAUAAUUUAAUUUUUCUCUCAUGUCAAAGUAUUUGGUCAAAACACCAUUUUCACUCCUUCAGCCUUAUUCUCUCUUUUCAAUGUCAUUUGAUCCUCAUAAACUUGUUUUAGUGAUAACAAUAUGAAAAUUGUAGAUUUUCCAUCUUUAUAAACGAAUAUUUAUUCUUAAACCCAUCAUGUCCAACCUCUUUAUCAAACUAUUAUGGUCUCCUCAAAAAUAAAUGUAUUACAUGCAUAAGAAUAACAUCACACAAAACUAUAUCACUAUACCUCUCAAUAAAAAAUGAGACCAAAAUCUAUUUAUUCACCUUUACUCCCCCCACACUCAUUCAACCACUAUAACUUAUAUAGCCUAUGAUGUUUUAUAGUAGGUAAAUUUAACUUUUACACAAGAGUAAUACUAGUUACAUUAACACAACUCCCUCCUUUAUAAUCAUAUUAUAUACCAUAUUACUGAUGUUGUAUCUUGUAUGAAAAAUAUGAUCUUUUUCUUGUUCUAUAUUAUCUUUUUUUACUUAAAACACUUAAUGAAAGCCUAACUACAAGUGAUUCACCCUCAAUCAGAUUCUUUACCUCAUCAUCACUAGUAUCCUUAAAUGGUAGCUUUUUCUCAUCAUCGCUAUCACUUUUGAUUCCCACCUCCCAAUAGAUAUGCAAGAUCAUAGUUUUUUAUUAUUAUUUUAUUGAAAAGCUAUGUGACCUUAUGUGAAUCUCUUGAUCACAUGGUCAAGCAAUGCACAACAAAGAUGAUACAACUCUUGAAAAGCCAAAACAUCAGGUUUGAUAGGAGUGUGAGACAAUGAAAACCUAUCUCAAGGUACUAACACUAUUGGAAUAAAAAACCCUUACCCAACGAAUACCAAUUCGCGAAUGAGAAGUUUAAUGAAGAUGCCACAAGGUCAAUUAUACCUUGAUAAGUCAAUUCAUUCUUUUUCUCAGCAAACAAAGUGUGUUGUAUUACACAAAACACAAGUUUAUUUCAUAAAUCCAAAAACAAGAUGUCACAUCCUUGUAGAAAAAAGAUCUUUGCUAAAUAGAAAGACUACAAGUCAAAAGGAAGUACAUAACAAAAUUUAUGCAUCAUGUUCUGAUGUAUAUUGAUAGGCCUUCACCAAAUCUUAUUGACCUUAAAUUUACACUAAUAUAGAACAAUAUUCCUGGAAACUCUAGGUAAAUUUUCAACCCAAUCCAAUGAUCGGAUUGAGAAUUAUGAUUAUUGCUGUAAAACUAGACAAUAGGCACAAUUACGCUAGAAUCUGAAUUUUAUUCUUUAACCCUUUCUUGGAUCAUAUCAUUCCCUCUCUCUUUAAGAUGAUUCGUCUUAGAAUCACCAAUAGGUAUAAUAGAUGUUUCACAAGCCUCUUGUUUAAGCUAUCAGAGCUUUUUUCUUGCUAACACUCACCUUCAAUAAUUUUGUAUAAAAGUAGUUGGUCUUCUCUUUCUGAAGCUUGUCAUUCAUAGAAUAAUGCGUUUAAUUUAUCAAAUUCAUUCAUUAAAACCCAAAACUUUUGGGAUAGAUCUUUGCAUUCUUCAUAAAAAACACCAAUAUAUUUCUUCCUCUCCCUUUUGAUACCACCUCUCUUUUAGAUACCUCCUUUUCAUUGUAAUACUCCCUUUGUAUUUGUUUUCUUACUCUAAGUUUUCAAACUAGAUAGAAAAUAAAAAAAUCCAACCAAUCCUUUUUUUUACAACAGACCCUAAAAUAAAUGUUAAUUACAUUAAAGAAAGUAAGAAGACACUGAGGACUAGAGAAAACUAACUCGAAACAAAAGAAAGGUUAGAAACAAGUAGAUUUAACGUAGAACAAGAUAAAAAAAAUAAAAUUAAUAAAAGGAUAUAACUUGAUUAAUUAAGCCAUGUUCUGAUACCAAAUGAUGUGAACCUCUUGAUCACAUGGUCAAGUAACCCACAAUGAAGAUGAUACAACUCUUGUAAAGCAAAGAAAUUAGGUUUGAUAGGAGUCUGAUAUAAUAGAAAUUUAUCUCAAGGCACCAGCACUAUUGAAACAAGAAACCUUUGCCCAACAAAUACCAAUUCGCGAACGAGAGGUGUAAUGAAGAUAACACAAGGUCAAUUAUACCUUGAUAAGUCAAUUCAUUAUUUGUCCUAAUAAAAUAAAUUACUGCAUCACGCAAAACACAAGUUUAUUUCAUAAAUCUCAAAAUAAGAUACCUCAGCCUUAUAGGAAAAUGAUCUUUGCUAAAUAAGAAGUCCACAAGUCAAAAGAAAGUAACUAACAAACUUUGCACAUCCUUUUAUGCGUAUAUCACAAGGCCUUCCUGAAAUCUUAUUGACCUAAAAUUUACCCCAACGUAGAGCAAUAUUUCGAGAAACUCUGUGUAAAUUUUGAACUCGAUCCAAUGGUUGAAUUGAGAAUUAUGAUUGUUAUUGUAAAACUGGACAAUAGACACAAUUAUGCUAGAACCCGAAUGAUUAGUACUUAAAAGUGCAUAUUUAUCAAGGUUUUAUAUCAUCAUUUUGCACUUGAAGUAUCAAUAACUCCUUAACUAAAGCAUGUUUUAUAAUAACAAGUCUAAUACUAUAAAAUGCCUUAAUAUAUGGUAAAUGUUCAUCUUAAAUGCAGGCCUAUCACAUAAAUCAAAGGAUUGAUUGAUGAGUUCAAGUAUGGAAAUUGAAAGGACAAAGAGAGAGCCAAACUUAGAAAAGAGAUGUUGGUGUAGUCCAAACUGUAACACUGUUUGGUAAUUGGGUCAUAUCUUGAGUUCUAGAUGUCAAAAUGAUCUCAAAGUUUUACAUAGAUUCAGUAAGACAUAGGCCUACAACUUUCAUGUGGACACCAAGAUCUAAGAAGGCCAUUUGCAAGUCCAAAUUAUAGCAACAACGGAGAAGUCUGAAUCUGUCCUGCAGCCCGAACACUGUUCAGUGUUUGGCCCAUAUCUGGAGUUCUAGAAGUCCAAAUGACCUCUAUUUUUUUUUCUGGAAAGCUGAGACAAUUUCCUACAACUUUCAUGUUUUCAAGUGGUCCCAGUUCUGAUGCUAGCAAUUUCAUUUUAUUCAUACAAGAAGAUAAGGAUUUUCACCAAGUCAAGAGUUGGCCACCCACUCAACAAUUAGUCAGCAAAUCAAUAAUUCCGAAUUUUGGCCUAUAAAAGGAGACAUUUGCCAUGCAUUUAGGGGCUGGAUUGUUGAGAUCAAGAACUUGCUCUUCCUCUCUCUCUUUAUAUUUUUUUUGUAAUUUUUAAGUUUUGUUUUUAUUAAUAUCUUGUUUAUGCUUUUCAUUUCCUCUC
rnacentral:lncRNA from 1 species